UGCUGUCAGUACAUAACAGAACUGAACCACCAUCGCGGUUUCACAGAUUUUUUUUGGAGUAACGAUAACAUAUUUAUCGAAAAGGAAAUACAAUAAAACCGCCUUUAUCCGAGGCCUGACAUUCUAUAUCCUCUUGAAGUUAACAUUCUUAAUGAGAACCUAACCGUUGCACUUAAUAUAAUAUAUACAUACAUGUGCAUUUUUAAUACACAUGUUCGUCGAAUUCAUUCAUCGUUCACAUACGUACAUACAGUUGUAUGCAGUUCAAUUGAUUUUCAUAGAUCAGACGAUCAAGCGAAUUGUAUAUUGCAUUCUUUCCGUGAGAACUUGCGAAGCAAAACCAGUCAUCGGACAGGACUGCAUUCUAUUGGAUUCUAUUACUUAUUCGGUUUAUGAAACAAAACGAGAAAAUAAUUUCGCGGCCAGCAACGUGUUAACGGUACGAUACGUGGACGCUGGGUAAUUUUUAUCCCUUUCAAUGCACCACGGAGGAAAUGUCUACGGCGAGGAAUGUUUUAAUACACCGUUUCGAGUUUCGUACGAAAGGAGACGAAAACUCAAAACUAAACUACGUAAUACGAGAUAACAUUAAAAUAUUUUUUGUAAUGGUAAUUCGUUGGACGUCCUGGUUCAACGAGCCCCUGCGUCCCAGCCCCCACCCCCGAAGAAUUUGACUCUCGCAUGCAUUACGAUACUCGCGUGUGUAACGCACAUGGUGUGCAUCUCCUCGUCGUUGUAUCGGUACGCAUUGUUCCGGUCCCUGUCCCGUAAGUACAGGUUCACCCCUGUAUUUAUUUGGGAUGCUAAAAAAGGAAGAUUUCUCAUAGCUAAACAAGUAUUUCGAAGAGACAACUUGCUGGGGGUCUGCGCCGUCUCAUGGUUGAACGCCGCCCGGCCAGUCUGGUUCCUGAGAAAAUGUCUUCGAUGUCUGUUCCGAUGUUAACGUGGGAAUACCCUCCCAAAGUACAUAACCCGCCCACGACAAUGGCUCCAGAAUCGAGUAAAAAGUGCAUUGUCUGUGAAGAGUGCAGACGACGAAGUAAUGAAAGAUGAAAAAAGAGGGUAGCGAUUUUGCGCGUGUACGAGGAGAGCGUGCGUACGUGUAUGCGUGAGGCGAGAGACCGGAUCACGAUAGGGCAGGGGAAUAAGACGAAAAAGUGCAGGAAACGAAGGAAGAAGAUAAAGAGAAGAGUGAAUAGAAUGGAAGGAAAGAAGCUGAUGAAAGAAAUACAAAUAGUACGUAUU